CAAUUAUAAACGUUUAACGAAAAAUAUUUGGUCUAAUAAUUUUUUUUUUUAUAAAAAUAAAUUUAUAAAAAUUGAUGCGAAUUAAUUAAUGUAAUUCAUUAGAUUGUGCAUUACAGCAAACUACUUAUGAUCUUGCAAAUAUGAAGACUAGGUUUAUUUGUUUUUUUUUUUUUAACGGGAAAAUGUCAUUGCUUAUUGGUAAAAAAAACUUGCAUAUAUGACUGGAUACAUUUUGGAAUGUCUCUAUGUCAAACAUGACAUCAUAAAUCAAAAUAAUGCAUUUAGAGCUCUACCAGUAUACUAUUUCCUUUUGUAAUUAGUCUGGUCUUCACUACUGUUGAUACUCUCUACAGAAAAACGUCUAAGAGACGGUACUCUCUACACUUUUUCAUUUGAAAGAGA